rnacentral:rRNA from 1 species
GGGAGUAUGUGGUUUAAUUUCGAUGCAACGCGAAGAACCUUACCUGGUCUUGACAUCCCGGAGACCCUUAGGAAACUAGGGGGUGCUUCCAUCUGGAAGAAUCUGGAGACAGGUGCUGCAUGGCUGUCGUCAGCUCGUGUCGUGAGAUGUUGGGUUAAGUCCCGCAACGAGCGCAACCCUUGCCUUUAGUUGCCAGCAGUUCGGCUGGGCACUCUAAAGGGACUGCCGGUGUUAAACCGGAGGAAGGUGGGGAUGACGUCAAGUCCUCAUGGCCUUUAUGACCAGGGCUACACACGUACUACAAUGGCCGAUACAAAGGGCAGCGACACUGCGAGGUGAAGCCAAUCCCGUAAAAUCGGUCUCAGUCCGGAUUGGAGUCUGCAACUCGACUCCAUGAAGUUGGAAUCGCUAGUAAUCGUGGAUCAGCAUGCCACGGUGAAUACGUUCCCGGGCCUU